UACAGAGGGUGCGAGCGUUAAUCGGAAUUACUGGGCGUAAAGGGCGCGUAGGUGGUUGCGUAAGAUUGAUGUGAAAUCCCUGGGCUUAACCUAGGAACUGCAUCGAUGACUGCGUAGCUAGAGUACUGUAGAGGGUAGUGGAAUUUCCGGUGUAGCGGUGAAAUGCGUAGAGAUCGGAAGGAACACCAGUGGCGAAGGCGGCUACCUGGACAGAUACUGACACUGAGGCGCGAGAGCGUGGGGAGCAAACAGG
rnacentral:rRNA from 2 species